GUCUUCAAUCAUCUUAAAAUGCACAUAUGUAGAUUAUGUAAAAAAAAAAAAAAAAAAAAAAAAAAAAUUAAGUGGCAUGCCUUUUUUUUUACACAAAAAGAGGGUUUGUGCUGGUGUAGCCCUGUACAAAAUUUCUAUAAGUUACAGAGUAUAAAAGAUCAUUAACAGUGUAACACACGCACAUAAAAAAAAAGAGAAGUUCAUAAAUAGAGUUCAUGUUAGUUAAAAUUGGGUAAAAGGUGUGCUGGUUAAAAGUAUAAAUAUAAUAUGUAGAGUUUAAUAAAUAAGACUAUUUACAGUUAAAGUUAAAUUCAUAUAAAAAGUUUUUGUUUCAUUUGAGAGAAAAGUAGAGAAGAAGCAGCUGUGUUUAUCAGUGUAAUUUAACCUGUUACCUGUCACCUGUCAAUCAUUUAAUUCCUGUUUUGCUUCUGGUUGUGUUAGUACUUGAGCCAAUCAGAGUAACAUCACUGUGUAAGGGGCGGGACUAUUGGGACAGGUUUGUGUGAGGAGUAGUGAGCACGCAUGAAAAACGGAGAACAGACGCUAUGACGAGAGCGCUAAUGAAGGAGGCAUCGUGGUGUGGGAAGCAUUAGUGUUUUGUUAUGAAGGUCGACUACUCGUGGUCCUUACAACAAAAAAAAACUUUGGUGUGACCUGCAAGAGACGGAUGUUGGUUUCUCUCUUUUGCACAUAACUGUGUUGGUUUUCUGUUUUGUUUCUGGAUCUGGAGCUGUACUUCUGCUCUGCUUUCUGAUCUACUGCAGAUCAAAAAAUACAGUCUCCAGAAGGACAAUCUGGAAUCUUC